rnacentral:piRNA from 1 species
UCAGAGAAACAAUGCUAUUUGCUUAGGGCA